GCUGGCGGCAUGCCUAACACAUGCAAGUCGAACGGUAACAGGUCUUCGGAUGCUGACGAGUGGCGCACGGGUGAGUAACGCGUGGAUAUCUGCCUAUGAGUGGGGGACAACUUUCGGAAACGAAAGCUAAUACCGCAUAAUCUCUACGGAGCAAAGCAGGGGACCUUUCGGGGCCUUGUGCUUAUAGAUGAGUCCGCGUCAGAUUAGCUAGUUGGUGGGGUAAGAGCCUACCAAGGCGAUGAUCUGUAGCUGGUUUGAGAGGAUGAUCAGUCACACUGGAACUGAGACACGGUCCAGACUCCUACGGGAGGCAGCAGUGGGGAAUUUUGCACAAUGGGGGAAACCCUGAUGCAGCGAUGCCGCGUGUGGGAAGAAGGCCUUUGGGUUGUAAACCACUUUCAAUUGGGAAGAAGGGAUGAGGAUUAAUAAUCCUCUGACUUGACGGUACCUUUAGAAGAAGCACCGGCUAAUUUCGUGCCAGCAGCCGCGGUAAUACGAAAGGUGCAAGCGUUGUUCGGAUUUACUGGGCGUAAAGAGAUCGUAGGUGGUUUGUUAAGUUGGAUGUGAAAUCCCGGGGCUCAACCUCGGAACUGCAUCCAAAACUGGCAGACUUGAGUUCGGGAGGGGUAAGCGGAAUUCCGUGUGUAGCAGUGAAAUGCGUAGAUAUACGGAGGAACACCUGAGGCGAAGGCGGCUUACUGGACCGAUACUGACACUGAGGAUCGAAAGCGUGGGUAGCAAACAGGAUUAGAUACCCUGGUAGUCCACGCCCUAAACGAUGUCAACUAGCCGUUGCGGGUAUCGACCCCUGCAGUGGCGCAGCUAACGCGAUAAGUUGACCGCCUGGGGAGUACGGUC
rnacentral:rRNA from 1 species